rnacentral:RNase_P_RNA from 1 species
GAAGCUGACUGGGCAGUCGCUGCCACUUUCUGAGUGGGGGAGGAAAGUCCGGGCUGCAUAGAGCGGGAUGACGGCUAACGGCCGUCCGUCGAAAGCCGCAAGGUAUAAGGCGAGGAAUAGGGCCACAGAGACGAGUCGGUUCGACCUGUGAGCAGCGAAAGUUGCGAACUUGCGUCGAAACGGGUGAAACGCGGUAACCUCCAUCCGCAGCAAGACCAAAUAGGCUGGCAAUGGCGUGGCUCGCGCCGCCAGCGGGUAGG